GGAGUUGUGGCUCAGUGUUACAGCACUUGCCUAGCAUGCAUGAGGCACUGGGUUCAAUCCUCAGCACCA
rnacentral:tRNA from 1 species